GAUGAACGCUGGCGGCGUGCCUAAUACAUGCAAGUCGAGCGAACGGACGAGAAGCUUGCUUCUCUGAUGUUAGCGGCGGACGGGUGAGUAACACGUAGAUAACCUACCUAUAAGACUGGGAUAACUUCGGGGGACCGGAGCUAAUACCGGAUAAUAUUUUGAACCGCAUGGUUCAAAAGUGAACGCCGGUCUUGCUGUCACUUAUAGAUGGAUCCGGGCUGCAUUAGCUAGUUGGUAAGGUAACGGCUUACCAAGGCAACGAUGCGUAGCCGACCUGAGAGGGUGAUCGGCCACACUGGAACUGAGACACGGUCCAGACUCCUACGGGAGGCAGCAGUAGGGAAUCUUCCGCAAUGGGCGAAAGCCUGACGGAGCAACGCCGCGUGAGUGAUGAAGGUCUUCGGAUCGUAAAACUCUGUUAUUAGGGAAGAACAUAUGUGUAAGUAACUGUGCACAUCUUGACGGUACCUAAUCAGAAAGCCACGGCUAACUACGUG
rnacentral:rRNA from 1 species